rnacentral:tRNA from 1 species
UAUGCUUUAGUAUAAAUUGUACAGAAAUUUUUGAUAUUUCUAGAAAUAGUUUAAUCUAUUAAGUAUAA